GACGAACGCUGGCGGCGUGCUUAACACAUGCAAGUCGAACGGAAAGGCCCUGCUUUUUUGGGGUGCUCGAGUGGCGAACGGGUGAGUAACACGUGAGUAACCUGCCCUUGACUUUGGGAUAACUUCAGGAAACUGGGGCUAAUACCGGAUAGGAGCUCCUGCUGCAUGGUGGGGGUUGGAAAGCUUCGGCGGGUGGGGAUUGACUCGCGCCUUAUCAGCUUGUUGGUGGGGUAGUGGCUUACCAAGGCUUUGACGGGUACCCGGCCUGAGAGGGUGACCGGCCACAUUGGGACUGAGAUACGGCCCAGACUCCUACGGGAGGCAGCAGUGGGGAAUAUUGCACAAUGGGCGGAAGCCUGAUGCAGCAACGCCGCGUGCGGGAUGACGGCCUUCGGGUUGUAAACCGCUUUCGCCUGUGACGAAGCGUGAGUGACGGUAAUGGGUAAAGAAGCACCGGCUAACUACGUG
rnacentral:rRNA from 1 species